ensembl:lncRNA
CCCUUGGCUGAUGAAAUGACCUCCCUUUAGAAUCCGCAAAUAUAAAUAGAAUUGACGCUUUAAUGAUCAGUUUUCACAAGCAAGAAUAAUCCAGUGUCUUAGGCAUUAAUAUUGUUCCAAAUCUGGAUGCAAAGGGCGGUUUUACAGCUGCAGUGAUUCAAAAUCAAAGCGUUCCUGUCACAUCCAAGUUCUCAGAGAGGGUGCCUGGAAACGUGAAGCAUCUGAUGGAAAUUACUGAAGUGUUAUCUCUCCAAAAUGCCAUAAGGUGGCAGUGAAUUAGAAAAUCGGUACUAUUUCUGGGGAGAACAAAGCUUUUAAAAGCUCAGUAGCAAUGGUGGAGAGCCUUUUUUGUUUGUCUAAUUUGUCUACUUACAUUUCAUGUAUCACCAUCAAAUUCAAAUCCAAUCACCUUAAGAGUACGCUGUAUAGAUCUGCUCCAACAUUCACGAGCAGCCAGUAGACAUGUUCCUGCACAGGGAAUUCCUGCUUUUUCUUUCUCCUCUGUUUCCUCUUCAAUUAAUCAGCAAGAAAUUUUCCUGUUGCCUUUUUGUUUACUUAUCUUGCAGCUAUUGCUGUGUCAUUCCAACAUCAGCCGUGGUAAGAGGGCAGGAGGGUAGUGUUUUAUAUUUCCGUUUGGCUGAUAAGGGUGAAAUCAUUCGAGGUUUCUUUGCACUUUGAUACACUGGUGAUUCAAACCGAUGCUGAUAGAUCUCCCACUUUUGCAUCCAGUUCCUUAAUAUUGCCAACUGAAUUAUAAAAAAAUAGCAUGAUACUGCAGUGGUUUGUCUCUUGGUUAAUUGGCACAGGCAGAGUCGAUGGCUAUAGUUGAACUUCAACUUUUCUCUUUUUUUCUAGUGGAAAACCAGAGGUUCUCCAACUGCUCAGGCAUUAAUUAUUAGACAAUAAACCCCAAAGAUUGGUUUGGAUUUCUAUCCCAGAACAAAAUCCACGUGAAUCUAUGUUUAGAAUGUACCGGUUGCGUUUAUUUUUCUGAGCAGGACAGACACUUUCAGUCCUGAGAACCGAGCGUUUUGCAAUGAUUUCCUGUCACAAAACAUGUCAUCACCAACAAUUGCUUCAGAGACCAGCUGAUGUUUUGCUGAUCUGGGUGUGCGUGGGCGCACCUAGGCCUUGUAGGACACCAGGUAGAUUCGCUAGAGUCAAUAGAGCCAGGCGAUCUGAACACAGUCAUGUAACAGGAGAUACGGACAGCUUCCGUUUCCCAAUUUUGCAGCACGGUAGAACAAGCCAAGCUGUCCAGUGUAGGUUCACAGGAACAUUGCGACACAUGGAAAACAUUGGUGACUCAUGAUGCAGGCUGAUGCACCCAUCUAUGGAAGUCCUCUCCACCGGUGCUCUGGAGAAGUUUAAGGUUGCUCCUACUCACUGAGAGAGACAUCAGGUUUCAUAGGGUGACAGAACACGUUACUCAGCUGGACUGCUUCCGUUGCUCCAGCAUUUGUCCAGCCACACCCUGUUCCUAAAUAGCCCUGAAAAAAUACAGCACCCAGAGCCAGAAAAGCCAUGUUGCUCUCAUGAUCCUUUGACAAGCCCUCCAGACAUUUGUUCUCUUGAAAUCAAGAAUGAUGCCUGUUUCCUCAGCAGUUUGAAAAGGUUUAAAUCUAGAAAAUUACUGGGCUCUUCUCACAUUAGACUCACUCCAACAGCCAAAGACAUUUGUCCACCUGCUUUCUAUUGUAUUUCCCAGUGCUGCCAGCAGGCUUGCCUGCUUCUGCAAAGGGCGUACCAAAGAGCAGAUGGGUCACUCUCUCAGCAAGAAAUUAAAACAGUCUCAGUAGGGUUGUGAUAAAAAUUGUCCUAACCACUUACUGGGAGCUCUCUGAACUACAGUACUGGUGGAAGGGCCCAUGCAUGCCCCACACUCACUGUUUUCCCAUCUCCUCAGCCAACCUCCAGCCUAGUUGUCCAAAUACAAAGAAUUACAGACAGCCUGCAAUCCAUUUAGGAAAAUCUUGUGGGUACAGUAAGCCUUGGCUUGAUAACAGGGAGCCAGGCACAGACCUCUAGUGGCACAAGGUGCCUGGGAUGCUGGCCUCACUAUGAGGACUCUCUGCAGGCUGAGGUUGCCAUCUGUAUCUGCAAUGAAAUGUUCACCCAGCCAUUGCUGUCCUAGCUGCCCUUACCCUAGCUAAAAAUAAUAGCACAAGUCUCCCUGUAGGAAAAAGAAGAUUGCUCUUGCUGGGCUACAGGCACUCUUGACACCACGAGGCAGACUGUGGGAAGUUUGAUGCACUUAUGUCUGCAUAAGAGGUGGUCACUCUGCACUGUACUUUGAGCAAUAUGUAACAGCACAGUGAUACACAACAUGUAGCAAAACAGUGGGAAAGGGCUAUGAAGAAGACCUGGUCAUUCUGUACAUCACUCAUAGCAGUGAGCUCGUGAUAUUAUUGCAUGUACUUCCUGGGUUCUGAGGUCUUUGAUUUGCAGCCCACAUUAAAGGUGGUGAUUGUCCUCAGUUUUGUCUUGUUUUAAAAGGUGACAGAAUGGAGAGUGAGUAGAACCCAUGAGAAAAUGCAUAGAUAAUUAUGAAGUGGCUGAAACUGUAACAGUAUUUCCAUUUUGCUUACUGAGUUUUUGCCAAGCAGUCUAAUAAAUUUAAUGAUCACUCUCCCUGACUGCUCACUAAUGACCAUUGCACACUACUUCCCUCGUAUUUGGCUUGCAAACAGUUACUAAUUGUUGCUACGCCUUGCAUUGUAUAUCUGGUGUUGACAGCUGUCGUGUGCCUGAAAUGGGGACAGAUGUUUCUAAAGGAGAGUUCCCUCCCAGAACUCUGAAACAUCUGGAAAAGCAUGGAGUUGAAUUGCAUUGCUGAAUGUGAAAACUUAUAUGCAUGCACAGGGUAAAGGGAAGAGGUCUGCAAACACAAAAAUUAAAAGAAUAGGCACUGGAAUGAGAUCAGAAGAGGCUCACGGCUGCGUCUGUAAAACACUGGAUUUUUGCUAUAAGAAAUGCCUGUUUCCCCUAAUUCCAUAUUGACUGCUUGGCACAGCAAAGUCUUUUACACCCUUCACAACAGAGCACACCUCUAAUUUGAUCAGAAAAAUAGCCUGUAUUGCCUUUGCUUCAGCUUAUUAGACACAAUCCAAAAACCAUUUCUUCAAGAGGGGGGUCAUGAUCAGGCUACAGAUCUAACAGGCUGGGAACAAGAAACCAGCAGCAUGAAAGCACCGAAAAGCCGUAGAAAUCAAUGGAAACAAUUGCAAUCCUUAAACAAAUAAUAAUGCAGAAUCUCAUUUCCUCCUGAACAUUUUGUGACUGAGAUUGUUACAAGCAACCUAUUUUUUUCCCCUCCGUUUGUUUAGCGUAUUUAGCAGCACUGAGCGUACAGGCCAUUGUUUUGCUAAGGGUCAGCAAUGCUUAUCUCCUGAUCUCGCCCAACUGGCUGGCUGCUCUGUGAGACCUGGAUGAGCUCUUGUCUCAGACCCAGCAAGAGGCUGCAAACCAGCAGCAGCAGAGCUGCACUCAACAGGCAGCAAUGAGCAAGCACAUAAGGACACAGAAAGGAAAUGGGUGAGCUCAGGCAAGGUUAGCGUGACUGGAGCAGCAGUCACUCCAAACAACUCUGAGAAAAGAGCCUACAAGCAUAAAAACCCUGGUGGGAUUAACAACGCCUUUCUGUAAAGGAGUCGUUUCAGGACAACUGACUUAAGGGAAGUGCUACAGUUACUUAUUUUUUAAUUAGACUGGAUUCAAGCCAUAUCUAGCUGAUGAUGCCAUCUGAGUUCACAGGGACCUUCCCAUUGCCUCAUGGCACAGGAGCAAGAGGACAACGCAAUUAACGGGAAUGAUGGCACUUUUAAAAGCAACAGUAGGAAGUUGUUCUAAAUGAAGCAGUUAUUGCGCAGGCUGGGAUAUUUUUCUUGUCCCUGGAAGGUAAAAGUUGCCUCCAGAUGUUUCAAGUUCUUAAGUGGGGUUGCUCUAGAAGUUCAUGGGGAGGAGACUCUUCUCCAUAGCUAGUAAGGGAGCCCUGGGGUAAGAAACCUCCCACUAGGUGACAGCCAGCCUCUGAAAUCACUGGUGCAAGGUAUCAUGGAUACAGAAGAAUUUAUGGCAAUAAUGGUAGAAUCUGGACAAGUACUGGGUAAUACUCACCUCUGAAGGAGGUGAUGUUAAAACUAUUUUUAUUUUUUGUGUGUGAUGUGAAAUCUGCCGUUUGAACACAACCUUCUAACUCUACAGAGAUGGCCAUACACCAGCCUUUCAAGUAUGGUAUAAUUUAUAAAACACUCAGAAACAUCUUGCCUUGAUCACAGUCAAACAAGAUAUCGGACUCCAAAUCAGGGCCUGAGCAAUUUGAUAUUCCACGAUUACCUCUUCUGAGCUCCUGAGUGAUUCAUCCUGUCAAGAAGGAGAUCAAGCGAAGGCGGCGGGAGGCCUGUGUGGAUGAACAAGAGGCCCCUGUCUGAAGUCUGGCAUGAAAAGGAAGUGCACAGAAGGUAAAAGCAGGGUGAAGUGACCCAGGAAGAAUCUUUGACUUGUGACACCGUAUUUUGGCAAUUCCAGAUCCCUGAGAGGGGCUCCAUAAGUGCUGAGGAAGCUGGCUGAUGUCACUGCAAGGCCAUGCUUUGAAAGAUCAUGCAGAUCAAGAAAGGUUCUUGAGGCCUGGAGGCAUGCAAAUUACAACAGAAUCAUAGAACAUCCUGAGUUGGAGGGAACCAAUAAAGAUCAGCGAAUCCAACUCUUAGCCCCACAUAGCACCAUCCAAAAUCCAAAUCCUAUUUCUAAGAGUGGUAUCCAAGUGCUCCUUGAACUCUGGCAGCUUGGGGCCAUGCCCACUGCCCUGGGCAGCCUGUUCCAGGGUCCUACCACUCACUGGUGAAGGACCUUUUCAUAGCCCCCCAGUCUGACCAUCUCCAGACACAGCUCCAUGUCACUCCUGUUUUCAGGAUGGGCAAGAAGGAGGCACUGGGGAACUACAGGCUGGUCAGCCUCACCUUAGUUUCUGAAAAGGUAAUGAAGCAACAACUAAUGGAAUCUGUUUCUAGACUCAUGAAGAGCAAAGAAGGUGACUGGGAGCAGCCAACGUGGAUUUACAAAGGUGAAAUCAGGCUCAAUCAACCUGACAGCUUCCUACAACGAGUUGACUGGCAUGGUGGAUGAAUAGAGAAGAGUGGAUGUCAUUUACUUCAAGUUUAGUAGGUCUUUUUACACUAUCUCCCAUAACACCCCUAUAGAGCACUCAGCGAAGCAUGGGUUAGAUUAGUGAAGAGUGGGGUGGGUCAAAAAGUGGCUGAAUGUCCAGAACUGGAGCAUCAUAAUAAGUAGCACAAAGUCUAGCUGGAGGACAGUCAUUAGCGGUACGUCCUAGGGGUCAGUAUCAGGCCUUUUACUGCUCAAUAUCUUCAGCAAAGAUCUGAAUGAUGGGGUGGAGUACACCUGAAACAAUUUUGUACAUCAUACAAAGCUGGGAGGAGGUGCGGGCUGCCAUUCAGAAGGAACUGAACAGGCUGGGUAUUGGGCAGAGAGCAAUCUAUAAAGUUCAAGAGUUCUGCACCUGAGGAGGAACAGCUCCAUGACCAAAUACAUACUGGGCACCAGCAGUUUGGAAGGAAGCUCUGCAGAGAGAGACCUGUGUUGUUCUUGUGAACAUCAAGCAGCUCUCCUACUCAGGAAAGAAGGCCCUUUAUGGUGUCAGUUCUUAUGCAUUUUGCUAAACUUGAUUUUUCCUUGAGGUAAUUACAGGUAUUACCGAUAUUAUUAGCUAUACAGAGUACAUAUACCUCUGAGGAUGAGGUGAUUAUGGUGAAUCUUGAACUUAAUAAAACAGACAGAACUGUCCUUAAAAUACAAGAUUUGGGGAUCAUCACUCAUGGCUGAGAUUUGAUACGGGUGCUUUCAGCAGAAUAUGCAAAGUGUGGGCAGAUGGAGGCUGGCAGAGCACACAGGGCAAGGUCAGAUAAGAAGUGGGAGACAAGUGAGUUAUGACAGCCAGUGCUGAGUACUGCACGAAAGAAUUUCAGUUGGGUUUCCCAGUCUAUGACAAUAUGGGCUGGGCUGGUUGUGUGCUGGAAGCAGUAAAGUUAAAGCGCUAGUACUGCAUCAAGACAAUGUGCCAAACAGGGGCAAUUAAGUCAGAGGCAAUAUUUUCAAGCUGAGCACCCAGAAAAUAGUGAAAAUGGAAUUAAUGACUGCCUGGGAGAAGUCUGAUUUAAAUGGCCACCCAGGAACUCAGAAGCAAAGGCAGUUCUCCAGAGCAGUAUCCAGCAAGAUGAACCACAAACUGUCCUUUCUCCUGCUGAGUUCCCAGUCUCCUUCAUGGCACAGUCCUGGUUUAUUUUAUGCACUGAGGCAGGAUCCCAUUAAGAAAAAAGUAUGCGAUCAUGUCAUUAACGUCUGCCUCGAAAGAGAAGAUUAGAAAAACAUUUGUCAAGAAUGGUCUAGGAAUAAUUGGUCCUGCCUCAGGGCAAAGAGAUGGGCUGGAAUCCCCAGCUGGCUCCUUAAGGUCCCUUCCAGGGCUGUUUUCCACAGAAUCAUACAUGCUGUAGAAAGCCAAAUUAAGUUUGCACAAAUUGUUUAAAUUCCAGGCUCCCUUAACUUCUGAGUUCUUGAUUUCAGAGACUUUUUGGCACAGAUUAUGGCAUGCUGUUUUUAGGAUCCUGGCUGGUUUGUUUUAAAGCAAAGUCGACGUAGCAAGGAUACCAUGAUGUGUACAUCUCCAAGGUCCCUCCAAAGCUUAUUAGAGUUAGAUCAACCACAGGAACGUCUUCCAGGGAUUGGCAGAGGCAAUUGUGCCCCCUCCAACUGUCCAAGGUAAGGGUGGCUGUAAGCAGAGGUCACUGUGCUGCUGAACAGCCUUGAUGUCAAAUCCACCAGCUGAAUCCUUGGUAGCUUAAUCCAUUCUAUCCUCACUCAGAAAACGAAGUUCUCCAUCCUCCCUCCUUCUCUAGCUAUUCCAGCCCAAGACACAACACAUUCUUCGAUCAGAUUUACUCCUUCCCUUUAGGACUGGCUUUCACAUCUGCUUCUUCUGCUUCAAUACCAGCAUGGUGGUCAUCGCACUAACUGAAAAAAGCACUGCUUCCCUGCCAGCUCAGUACCCCAUUUCACAACAUGAUGCAGUGACUUGCAGGGGGAGCACGCUUGGCCACCACCUGCAGAAAGCCUGGCAGCUGCAAGGAGAUGGAGCAUGCUCUGAGAGGGCUUUCAAGGGAUGAUUGGGAGAUGGCUUUUUGUCUGCUGAAUCCUAAGACCCACACAAAUGUCAAAAGCUACAAAAGUUACACUUGCAGUUUGUGUGGCUCGAGGGAAAUGAGGUGUCUCAGACAAGAAACAAAAACAAAAAAGCAACAAGAAACCCUGGCAGAUGUGCUGGAAAUGAGGGAAAAUGUAUUUUUUUUCAGACUUGUUCUUGGAAACAUCCCGAAUCGUGUUCACUUUAGCUCUUCCAGAACACUCGGCAUGAAAAUUUUGGUAUAAUGCUUAGAUGUUUAGGAAACGAUAGACAAGUGAAUCCAAGAUGUUCCUAUGGAAAAUGCAGCCUUAAUAUGCACUGGGACGUUAAUGCUAGAGAAUGAAGUAAUAAGUAUUUCUUCUUCUUUCACUCUUGCUUUUCUCCUUUCCAUUCUCACUCAUUAUAAAAAAAUUGCUAAUUGCUGCACACUCUGGGCCUCUAACAUUUUAGUCUUCACUGGAGACCUUUUUACUGCAGAACAAAUUCCUUGUUAUCUGGAACUUCUAAAUUAAUUGAUUCCGCUGGUUACUGCAGGCUCAUAAAAACAGUGGUAUUAAAUUGGGGACAAAAGUCGAAGGCAGAGAUAAAGCAGCAGUAUGCUCAAGCAACCGAAGUGAUCUAAGCACCGUCCUUGGACUUCUCUUAAACAGAUGACUUUACUUUGUAAAGACAAUAUUCUGGCUUAUUAAAUUAAUUGAUGUUAUCCUGGGCUUGGGCACGCCUGCUGAGCUGCUGAGAAAUGCCACCAGGUUCACGUUACAGGUGGAAGCCACUGUACUCUCUUCAACAGACACGGCUGCCAAGAGAUGGCUAUUGCUGCCUAAAUGACAUGAGCAAAUUCAUGUCUCAUAGCUGUUUUGGUCAUCCCAGCAGUUCCUUUAUACUCUACAGGUAGGUUGCAAACUUGCAAAAAAACAAUGAGACAGUGGAAAUUUUGCUGUAAUGAAAGCAUGCCUCUGAACACUUUCAGACACGUUGCAGCAGAACAAAGCUGUGACCUGUUCUUUCAUCUGUCACCCUAAGGGCAGGAAGAUCUUUAAAAGUCAAUGCCUCAUUUCUGAGUGUGCAUUAGAACAGCCUAAACUGGUCACAGGGGGAAAUUAUUUUAUAACAAUCCUGUAAAGGGAGAGACGAACACUCAGUUGCUCAGCUUUCAGCAGCACAGAUCUUGGCACCCAUGCGGAAAACCAAUGAAUAACUUUUGAAACCAUGCUGUCCCCAUCUUUCCAGCUGCCCUGUAGCGUGGGUGGUCAGUGCAAAACUGACCUUAUCUCCUGCUGCUGCUGCGGGACUGUUGGCUGUCCCGGGCCAGGAGGGGAACUGCCCAGUGUUGCAAAGUAAAUAGGCCUCUGCUGGGUCUGGCUUAGGGGCAUCACCCCUUCUUGUAGGACAGUGCCCCCCACAGCCCAGCUUCUGACUGCGUAGCAGGAUGCCUUUUUUAAUUAUUUUUUAAGCACUUUAGUAGAAUUACCUCACUUGUGGGGUUGUUCCUAACGUUGCCAUUAUCUAGAAAUAUCUCCACUUAGUAGUAGAAAUCUCAUGCUUAUUUCAGCAGAUGCUUGGAUUUCUAAUGGAGAGAAGAAUUCUUGGCUCUUUCUAACUUGCGACUGUCAAAUUCCAGUUAAUUCCUAGUGGUGUGAUUCUGGGAAAUUUGGAUGUUUCCUCUUUGUGGGAGGACAAAAAUAUAUGCAAGAGCAUGCACAAAACUAUGAUCUGAUUCACUAAAACCAGCUGUUUGAACAAAUCAUCCAAACACAGCAAAUACUGAUUAUUCAACAGCGACAUCAGUCUUCACCGCUUGUGUCCCAGCCCGUUGCCUGAUCUCCUUCCUCCCUUCUCUGUCUCAACCAUGUUUUCCAGAGGAUGUUGGGUUUCAUACUGAGGUUCAAGCAUUGCUGGCUAAGAAAGCCAGGAGGGCUGGGAGUAUUGGCUCUCAUUUUCCUGCUCAUUGAAGGGUUGACCUGCCUCUCUGGCCCUCCUUGGGAAGCACUCAAAAGCUUUUUGUAAAUACAUAUUAAGGAAGCCUGAAUGUAUCUCAGGGAGGUGGCCCUGCGUCCACUUGAAUCACUUGAAUGACAGCUGAAUGAGACCUCUCUGUCAGGGAGUCACAAAGAACGGGUCACAGGAAAGCACUAAAUGCGUUUUUGUAACUGGUAUGAAAAAUGCUGUACUAGCGAGAAAAUGAGCUGACACUUGUAAAAGCAUAAUCCACCAUCAAACGAAAGAUUCACCUGUCACAGGAAUAGUCUUUAUCCAGCACCUGUAUUUGGGAACUGUUUAAAAAAAACACAGCUGCUUUCAAACAAGAACUUGAAUUUGCUCUAACCACUUACAGUAUAUCCUGCUGCCCAUGGAUCUGCCAAGCUGAGCUGUAAAUGCAAAGUGCGAUUGCAUCAGCUCAUGAUAUUCCUGCUGUACUCUUUGGUUUGAAAUAUUGCCCUGAUAAUUUGAGCUAGAUACAAGGUGAAACUGCCUGCAAAGCAGCACACACCUCUGGGAGGGUGUCUUGCAGUUUGUAUUCACUGCGUCCAAUGAAAAGGGAAUGCUAUUCACAGAAUCAUGACUUGUAUUGGAAAGGACCUCGAAGCCCAUCCAGUUCCAACCCACCAUUGAGAGCAGGGCUGCCACUCACUAGAUCAGGCUUCCUCAGGCCCCAUCCAACCAGACCUUGAUUGCCUCUGGGCAUGGGGCAUCCAUAGCUUCUCUGGGCAACUUGACAACUUCUUUGGGCAAACUGAACCAUUCUUGUGUCAUCAGUGUCAUGUCAUCAGGACACUGCACAGGGUAUGCUUUUGUUUUCCCUGUCUGUGGCUCCUUGAGAGGUACCAAGGUCUUCCUAAGAAAUUUGGGUCCCUAUGGGUGUCCUAAGCCAUGGGAAGCUCCAGCAAGCAAAGGCUCUUCAGAACCAGGCACAGGUGCACCUCCUGGUACUUGCAGGAGGUGUGCUGGAAGGAAACAUCAGCAUAUGAGGGAUGAACAGGCCUCCCUCUGCAAGUACACUAAUGUUGGUAAAUCCAGCACUUGAUGGGUACCAGGACCCCCUGGGCCAUUAUGUUUUUGCUGACCCCCAGGAAAGCUGCCUGCUUCUGGCAUGCCCUUCUGGUGCCCUAACUACUGAUGAGUAUUUCUUCUCGUCUGCUUUCUGAAAGGUGAGCACGGUCCCAUUCUUGUACUUGACAAGCUCUUUAGAGGAAGAGCAGCAGCCAUGGGCUGCCGGAAGAAACUAGAAAUAGAAGAUCUAUUGUCUGAGUAGACAAGUGAUUCUGGGAAGCAAAGCCCCGCUCUAUCAGCAUAUAAGACAGUAGGUUAAAGAAGGAAGAAAAGCUAUUAACAAGAAGGCAGCACUGGCAUGAAAACAAAUAGAUAAAAAUAGGCUCAGAAAAAAAUGUGGGCUGGAGAUCAGAAACAAGUUUCCUCGGUGUCAGAGUGAGGCUAUGGAAUAACCUGCCAAGAAAACUCCUAGCGACUUCUGAGAUGGACUGUGAUAAAUUAAGAAGAGGGACUUCAUGACUCAGUGCUUGUCAUAGCAAGGGAACAUGACAAUGACUUGGAGAUCCCUCCUAGCCCCGCAUUCCUGUUGAUAUGAUAACAGAGGAAUCUGUGUAAGGCGCAGUAAGUGCUGAAUCACUGAGUGCUUUAUAUAGCUGCCUGGCAGAACAAAGUCCCUUGCUCUCAUCCUGUCUGCAAGAAGCUCUAGGACAAAAAAAAAAAAAGAGAAAAACAAAUGCUUACGUAAAUGGUUGCACUCUGACAGCAAAAACCAUAAAGCUGCAGGUGCCUGAGAUAGAGGAAAACCAACUGAGCUCAGCUGCAGGCUCCUGCACAGUGGAGAGAGCUAGUGGUGUGGACAUGAAAGCAAGAGACCUCGCUGGGAGAGGCGCGUGCCUGGAGGUGAGUGUGCCCCAACAGCUUCAAUCCAUAACUUCUAACACACAAAGGAAACUCAGUGCUACAAGCUGUGUGUGCGUAUCCCAUGCACUUUCUGCACCGUGUGCAUGGAGGGGAUCAUUUCCACAGUGGAAAUGGUCACGUAAUGCAGCAGAAAUUUAUUUAACAUCAACUGCUGAAGCAGCCACAUUUCUCCUACCAUCUCAGGACCCACUGAUUUUUGUAUGGUGGUUUUUUUCUGCCCCUUGAGUAUGGGAUCACUUUCUGAAGCACAAGGCUCUCGUCAGGGUGCCACUUACACCCAUGGGUUUAAUGCCUCACACAUGGACAUCUACAGCUUAGCUGCCUUUGGCUUUAAGAGCAGACUUUGCGGUAAGAUCAGCAGCUGCAGUUGGAAGAGUACAUAGAGGUAGAGGCCAAGGAGGAGGCAUAUGUGAAGAAUGGGGUAAGA